rnacentral:rRNA from 1 species
UGGGGAAUUUUGGACAAUGGGUGAAAGCCUGAUCCAGCAAUGCCGCGUGUGUGAAGAAGGCCUUCGGGUUGUAAAGCACUUUUGUCCGGAAAGAAAUCCUUGGCUCUAAUACAGUCGGGGGAUGACGGUACCGGAAGAAUAAGCACCGGCUAACUACGUGCCAGCAGCCGCGGUAAUACGUAGGGUGCAAGCGUUAAUCGGAAUUACUGGGCGUAAAGCGUGCGCAGGCGGUUUGCUAAGACCGAUGUGAAAUCCCCGGGCUCAACCUGGGAACUGCAUUGGUGACUGGCAGGCUAGAGUAUGGCAGAGGGGGGUAGAAUUCCACGUGUAGCAGUGAAAUGCGUAGAGAUGUGGAGGAAUACCGAUGGCGAAGGCAGCCCCCUGGGCCAAUACUGACGCUCAUGCACGAAAGCGUGGGGAGCAAACAGGAUUAGAUACCCUGGUAGUCCACGCCCUAAACGAUGUCAACUAGUUGUUGGGGAUUCAUUUCCUUAGUAACGUAGCUAACGCGUGAAGUUGACCGCCUGGGGAGUACGGUCGCAAGAUUAAAACUCAAAGGAAUUGACGGGGUCAUAGCUGUUUCCU